GGUCAUAUUUCUCUGCUUCUUUGCACGCCUGAUAAUUUUUAACUUGAUAUCUACAUUGUGAAUUUCACCUUGUUUUUAUAGAUACCCGGUCUUGCUAUCUUUCCCAAGCUGUUCUUGAUCUCCUGGCUUCAAGUGAUCCUUGACCUCCCAAAGUGCUGGGAGGAUAGACAUGAGCCACUGUGCCUGACCCAAGUGGAAUAAACUCUAAUGUUAAGUGGGGGAAGUCAAGAUGGCUAACCAGGCACAGCCAGGUGGAUCAUUUCUUACCAAAAGGAUGAGACUUCAGGAAGACUGGCACAUUCUGAGCAGAUCUUUGUGGGGAAGGCAUUGAGAGUGGACAGAGCUUCAGGCACGUCUCAGCAUGCCUCCCUCUCAUGGAAGUUCCCAGGAAGCCCACCAUGUACGUGUCUGUACGUGUCUGUAGAAGAGGAGGAAAUUUUUUUCCGGGAGCCGGCUGAUUACACAAAGAACAAAGCACAAUGCGGCAAAACAUACCAUGCUGUGGCUAGAACCCAACCCAGUACCAGAAAUGAAGAAAAUGACCCUACAGGACCAGCAGCCCUGGACAAUGCGGCUUCCUCGGAUGACACAAUCCACGGACGUUAUCUGGGGGAUGCUGAAGAGGACAACUCAGGAGGCUGAGCAAAUCCUGCUCCGGACACAGACACCAUUCACUCCAGAUAAUUUGUUCCUUGCUAUCCUCUCUGUUUUGCAUUGCAACUCAUGUAGGGAUGCAAAGCAGGAAUACAAGCAAUGAGCGCCAUGCCUGAAAAACCUGUUGCUGUACACAUCUAUACUCUUCAAUCAACAAAACAUGAUGCUAAAAAUAGAAAAGAGGGAGAUGUAGGAGUUCAGUCAGUGUGUUGGGAAAAGUUGUAAGAAAAAUUAUAGGAAGACGCAAACAUUCUUGGAAGGCAGGAAGGUUUUGCUAAAGCUUUGGGAAAGGGUUAUGGCUGAAGGCAGCCUAAUCCUCUUACCUGAGCUAAUAGCAAAAAGCAAAUAACAAGGGAAUGUCAGGGAGUUUAUCUAAAUAGCUUUUUUACUCAUGUUGUCCUAAGACCAAACUUUGAUAGUCCAUGCACAGGAUUGCUCUCUCCGUGUGCAGUGGGGAGGUAGACUAUGUUAAUUUUACCCACAAGUGUGUUGACUCAAGGCUUUGUCAUUAAAUCUGUACUAAAUAAAUUCCUGCAGUGCCAGUUUGUCAAGGCCGUGGCUGCUACAACUCUUUCUGUUAUCAGCCCAGUUCCCUAGUCUGCUCUUUCACUUGGAUACUGUGUCUCAGUACAUUUUUUCAUCCAUCGCUCAGUCAGGGUCUGUGGGUCAGACCUGGCAUAUCUUUAUGCCAGCACCACACUCUUGAUUAUGAUAGGUUUAUAGUGAGUUCUGAAUUAGGAAUGUAUGAGUUCUACAACUUUGUUCCCGUUUUUCGGAAUUGUUUUGACUGUUCACAGUGCCUGAAUAUUCUAUAUUAAUUUUAAGGUGGAAUUUUCUAUUUCUGCAAAAUAUAACAUUGAGAGUUUGAUAGGGAUUGUAUUUAAUCUACAGAUUGCUUUGAGUAGUAUUGCCAACUUAACAAUAUUAGGUCUUCCAAUUUAUGAAAAGAGAGUGUAUUUCUAUUUAUAUAUGUCUUUGUGAAUUUCUUUCAGCAACAUUGUGUAGUUUUCAUUGUAGCCUUUCACAUGGUUAGUUAAUUCCUAAAUAUGUUAUUGCUUGAGAGGUUAUUGUAAAUAAAAUUGUUUUGUUAAUUUUA